rnacentral:rRNA from 1 species
UUAUACAACCUCAACUCAUAUGGGACUACCCCCUGAAUUUAAGCAUAUUAAUUAGGGGAGGAAAAGAAACUAACAAGGAUUUUCUUAGUAGCGGCGAGCGAAAAGAAAUCAGUUCAGCACUAAGUCACUUUGUCUAUAUGGCAAAUGUGAGAUGCAGUGUAUGGAACAUCAAUAUUUUAGUAUGAGAAAUUAACGAUUUAAGUCCUUCUUAAAUGAGGCCAUUUACCCAUAGAGGGUGCCAGGCCCGUAUAACGUUAAUGAUUAUUAGAUGGUGUUUCCAAAGAGUCGUGUUGCUUGAUAGUGCAGCACUAAGUGGGUGGUAAACUCCAUCUAAAACUAAAUAUAACCAUGAGACCGAUAGUAAACAAGUACCGUGAGGGAAAGUUGAAAAGAACUCUGAAUAGAGAGUUAAAUAGUACGUGAAACUGCUUAGAGGUUAAGCCCGAUGAACCUGAAUAUCCGUUAUGGGAAAUUCAUCAUUAGAAUUGUAAUAUUUAAACAAUAUUAUAAGGAUAGUGUGCAUUUUUUCCAUAUAAGGACAUUGUAAUCUAUUAGUAUCAAACAAUUUAUCAAAAAAUUUUAGACAAAUGCUUAUUUAAAUUAGAGUGCUUGCAUUUUAACAUAAAAUAAAUGUCAUAAAUUUGAUAAAGUGCUGAUAGAUUUAUAUGAGUACAGUGCGUUAAUUUUUCGGAAUUAUAUAAUGGCAUGAUUAUCAUUGAUUUUUGUGUUUAUUAUAUGCACUUGUAUGAUUAACAAUGCGAAAGAUUCAGGAUACCUUCGGGACCCGUCUUGAAACACGGACCAAGGAGUCUAACAUAUGUGCAAGUUAUUGGGAUAAAAACCUAAUAGCGUAAUUAACUUGACUAUUAAUGGGAUUAGUUUUUUAACUAUUUAUAGUUAAUUAACACAAUCCCGGGGCGUUCUAUAUAGUUAUGUAUGAUGAUAUUUAUAUUAUUUAUACCUCUAACUGGAACGUACCUUGAGCAGAUAUGCUGUGACCCGAAAGAUGGUGAACU